GUCACCGUGUUAGACAAGGCGUAUCUCUACAAAGUGCUGAACAAUAUGUGGAAGAUGCUCAACAACAUCCUGAUCUGUCCCAAGAAAAAGGCACAGAUCUUUUGGCGCAUAAAAAAUUGCCUGCAGCAGAAAAACCUUGUGAUAAUCUGAUGACUUUAAAGGUUACCUAUAGAGGCGAAGCAGAAAAGCCUUGUGAUAAUCCGAUGACCUUAAAGGUUACCUAUAGAGGUGAUAUCAUUAAGUUUCAGCUUUCCCCUUCAUCAACCAGGGUAGAACUGGAGGUGGAAGUGGAAAAGAGGUUUAACAUAUCACUUCAAAGGUGUUCCAUCAAGUAUCAAGAUGACGACGACGAUUGGAUUUUGAUAACUAGUAAUUCAGAUUUGAGGGCUGGUAUGAAAUCAUUAAGAGUGUUUUUUCUUUGCCAGUUAUAUUUGUUGUAUGUCUUUGAGCUCAUUAUAAAUAAUAGAGAAAUCUAAUUUGAAAACCCUUUUGGACUGUUUAAUAUCAGUUGCUUCAGAAAAAAAUGAUUUAAGUGCCACUAAUGGCAUUUAUAUAUAAACUUAUUUAUAAUCGUUGAGCUAAGUAACUCUUCAUCACACCUUUUUGGGUGCGACCCUUCACCGAACUCUGCUCGAAUGUUCAAUGCUCUGUGAAUCGAGCUGUUUUUUUUUUUGGGUUGGUAUUGAGAGAUAUUGGGAUAGAAAUAUUGGUGUUCAGGAUUAUCCUUAAUUUCGAGUUUAUUGUAGUGUGAUUUGACAGAUAAAAUUACCAUAACAUGUGUUUCCACCAUAACCGUUCUUGUAUAGUACAGUAGAUAAUUGUUUAUCAGUAUUUAU
rnacentral:lncRNA from 1 species